UACGUAGGGUGCAAGCGUUGUCCGGAAUUAUUGGGCGUAAAGCGUGCGCAGGCGGUUCGUUGUGUCGGCGGUGAAAGCCCCGGGCUCAACCUGGGAAUGGCCGUUGAAACUGGCGAACUGGAGUGUGGCAGAGGGGGGUGGAAUUCCGCGUGUAGCAGUGAAAUGCGUAGAGAUGCGGAGGAACACCGAUGGCGAAGGCAAUCUCCUGGACCUGCACUGACGCUCAUGCACGAAAGCGUGGGGAGCAAACAGG
rnacentral:rRNA from 1 species